rnacentral:rRNA from 1 species
AUGCCGGAGGAGUCGCGGAGGGUGAGGAAGGUGAGGCCGGCGUGGGAGCGGCGGAGGGCGACCCAGCCGCAGAGCCGGACCCGGCGCCCGGCGUCGCCCGCCCCGAGCUCGCCGCAGAGCGCGUCCCGCUGGGGCCACUGCAGAGGUUGCAUCCUCUCCAGCUUCGCCUCGGCCGCGGGGAGCGCCGCCGCCUCCUCCGGUGGGGUCGCCGCAUCGGUGGCGGCCGCUAGGGUUCGGGGCGUGGGCGUGGAGCGUGAGGGGGCCGAGGCGGAGCUGGAGAGCAGGAGGAGGCGGCGGAGGUGCGAGGCGGGAGGCCUGCGGUUGAGCGGCCUCAGGCGGGAGAGGAGGGAGAGCGGCGAGGCGCGGAGGAGGGAGGACGCCAUUGGAGGCGACGUGGGAAGGGAGCAGAGGAAGAGGAGAGAGGGUUUGGGAUUAGAGACGACGAUGGGUUUCUGA